rnacentral:rRNA from 1 species
CCUACGGGUGGCUGCAGUGAGGGAUAUUGCACAAUGGGGGAAACCCUGAUCCAGCGACGCCGCGUGUGGGAAGACGGCCCUCUGGAUUGUAAACCACUGUCCCCAGGGACGAAGAUGACGGUACCUGGGGAGGUAGCUCCGGCGAACUACGUGCCAGCAGCUGCGGUAAUACGUAGGGAGCGAGCGUUGUCCGGAAUUACUGGGUGUAAAGGGAGCGUAGGCGGGGAUGCAAGUUGGGUGUCAAAACUACAGGCUCAACUAGUAGUCGUACUGAAAACUGGAGCUCUAGAGUGAAGUAGAGGCAGGCGGAAGGCGUAGUGUAGCGGUGAAAUGCGUAGAUAUUAGGAGGAACACCAGUGGCGAAGGCGGCCUGCUGGGCUAUUACUGACGCUGAGGCUCGAAAGUGUGGGGAGCGAACAGGAUUAGAUACCCGUGUAGUC